UCAAACUUGGUCAUUUAGAGGAAGUAAAAGUCGUAACAAGGUUUCCGUAGGUGAACCUGCGGAAGGAUCAUUAACGUAUCUCUGGCGGGUGGCGGUGCGCCCUGCUCCGGCCCAAACGGCCGUGCAGCGGGUGCCCGUCUCUGUCCAACACCUCACAAACCCACUGUGAACCUUCACGGCAGAGGGAGGGGCGACCCUUCCGACGCCGCAUACCAAACGCCAGUUGUAAAGAAUGUCGUGCGGACAGCGUGCCGCCUAAAACACAAAACAACUUUCAACAACGGAUCUCUUGGCUCUCGCAUCGAUGAAGAACGCAGC
rnacentral:misc_RNA from 1 species